AGGGCUUAUAAGCUGGAAAAGCAGAAGUCAGGGCUUAUAAGCUGGAAAAGCAGAAGUCAGGGGACCCUUGCUUUUAGAAGCCAGAAGCCGCCGCUACUGUAGCGAAGGUUUAAUGAAUUUUUCAAAAUACCAUUGGGUACCCUCAUGAACUUCAAGGAAUUACACACACGACCAGCCUCUUCUCUUCCUCAACUCUCCCUUUCUGUCUUCUCUCUCUCGGUGCUCUUAGGACGACGUCGUGCAUCCAUCGGCGCCUCCGCCUUUGCUCUCCCUGGUGGCCACCUCGAGUUCGGGAAGAAUUAUCUUCAGUGGCAUGGUACUCGGGCUGAGUUGGUGGUGACGGAAGCCGAGUUGUGCAAGGAGAUACUCAGUAAUAAAGAUGGAUUCUAUCCGAAACCCAAGUUCAGAGCUUAUGCAAAGAAGAUAUUUGGGAAUGGCCUUCCACAAUUAGAAGGUGAAAACUGGGCGAAAUCGCGAAUGCUGGCCAACCAUGCCUUCCAUGGACAGAGCUUAAAAAUGGACCAGCUGAGGAUCUGUAUUAUGUAUUGUAUCUGCCUAUCUGGUGUCUGAGAGGAUCUGCAAAAGGAUUGGCAUAUCUCCAUGAGGACUGUUCUGAGGAAAAGAUUUAUAUAGCCUCAUCGAGUUGGUGAUAGACAUUUUGUCCGCAGUGAAGAAAGAGAAGGUUAUGGGUCAAGUGGUGGGAUAGAAAUGGAUGAUGAUGUAGAAGAAGAAUAUCAUGGUCAUGGUGCACAAGAAAUGGAAACAAUAAGAAAUAGCAUUACUCAAAGUUUGAUGAAUGCGCGUAAUAACGUGAACAUUUGAAUAUGUUAUGAUAUUUGAUGCGAACCAGAAACCAGUUGUUAUUAAUGUUACUAAUAUAUUUGUAUAAGUUAUUUUUAAAA